GAAGAAUCAAGCAUUUAUUUAUCAUGAAGAGAAAGCCUAGCAUAAAAGUUAUGAACAAUAGAAUCUCACGAAAGCUAAUGAUUGGGGCAUUUGAGCAUCAUGUCCUUAAGCCUCCACCAAGCUUGAGCGAUACUUUCUCCUUCAUGAGGCCAAAAGUUAUGGAUGUAAUUCCGAUCAUGAUGAACUAAGUGCAUAGGGUAAUUUUUCGAUGGGAUUCCAGUUUCUUUCGAUUACAGUCCCAUGAUCCAGAAUUAUCCAAUAGUAUAUACCAUGCCAAUGUUUUUCCAUCCAAAUAUCAAGGGAAUAAUUUCUUCUUAGCAUCAC
rnacentral:lncRNA from 1 species